rnacentral:lncRNA from 1 species
UAGUGCGUGUAUUGUAAUGUCGGUCGGUUGUGGCUCUUCUUCUGCAUCUUCUUCUUCAUAUUCAAGGCUCUCUUCUAGAUGUUCAAUGACCUCUUCUUCUUCUGGUUCAAUCAUAAGAAGUCUCCCCUUUCUACAGCGAUGCUCGCGGCUCUACGGCUCAUUGCAGUGCCAACAUAACCCCUUCGUAGAUCACUCCCGAAG